AGCUUUAUAUUCAAAAUAAAUGAUAUAAAAUUGCAAAUUUUAUGGUGUAUUAAGCUACUAAGGCUU
rnacentral:tRNA from 1 species